UACGAAGGGGGCUAGCGUUGCUCGGAAUCACUGGGCGUAAAGGGUGCGUAGGCGGGUCUUUAAGUCAGGGGUGAAAUCCUGGAGCUCAACUCCAGAACUGCCCUUGAUACUGAAGGUCUUGAGUUCGGGAGAGGUGAGUGGAACUGCGAGUGUAGAGGUGAAAUUCGUAGAUAUUCGCAAGAACACCAGUGGCGAAGGCGGCUCACUGGCCCGAUACUGACGCUGAGGUGCGAAAGCGUGGGGAGCAAACAGG
rnacentral:rRNA from 1 species